AUAUUUACCUAGCAGAAGAGAUACCAUGAUCACGAAGGUGGUUUUCCUGAGGCAAGGCUCAUCCAUUUGCACUCCUGAUAUGCUGACCCCUGCUAUUUCCCCACAUGUGUGAAACUUGACUCCAUAAUUUGUGGUAGUGGGGGAUUGUGCUUGUGCUUUCCCCUG